CCUUGACUGCGUAAGCAGACACUAGCCAAGACAAGGAGAAUUACAUG
rnacentral:ncRNA from 1 species